AGUUUCAUUCUGGAUAUUGUCACAGGCAUGUCUGGUGUUCCUUACAGGUGUGAAAUGACAACUUGAAGCACUUAUUGACAGCCGUCCAAAGUCUUAGAUGUUUAUCAAGUUCAGUGGCAUUUGGUUGUUGACAAUUCUAACCAGAAGAAUAAUAUUGACUGAAUCUGUAUUCUGCAUUGGUGGAAUAAUUUGUUGCUUCACGCUUCAUUUGCAAAUCUUAAGAAUUUUUCAUCGCUUGAAAGAAAGAAAAAAAAAAUCCUAUCCUUUGAAUAGAAUGUUUUAUUGUUUUUACAAUCCAUGUUUUGAAUAAAAGAAAGCAGUGGUGUGAAAGAUAAAAGAUACCUACAGUAAUUACUGCUUUGGAUAGCAACCUUUCAAAUUUUAUUGCCAUGGAAACGGGUGAACGCAGCAUAAAAUAUGUAGCAUAGAUAAUGGAAAUUAUGCUGAUAUUGAAUGCUUGCUCUCCAUCUGUCUGUAUUAUAGACUGCAGUGACAGUGCCAUGGGGAUUGUUGGCUACUAUAUUACUGUGAUGCUAAUUGACAUAGUGGAUGUGUACGUGUAGCCGUCCUUUAAUGAUGUGAUGCAAAUUAAGCCUUGGAUUUGGAAGAAAAUGCUUGAUAGGGGUUAGGUGAUGCCCUGAGAAAUAUUCUGUAAGGCAUUGUGAUAUUUUCUUCGACAAACCUGCGACCAUGAUAUGGAUUUCAUUCAGAUUCUACCUCUAGAAGUGCUGGCUUGAUGCAUCAAGAAGUGAAUGAAGAGUUGAGGCUUCCAAGCUUGAAUAGCUAUUAAAUACUUUGAGGAAUCAUGAUGCUAUCCACUACUUUAAAACUUGUAGCCGUGUUAGGAUGAGAUUUUGGCUUGAUCAGACUGUACUUUAAUACGUCAUUACAAGUUACUUUUCAAACACUCAACAUACUUCCGAUGUCUCUCUAUGACUAACACCAAUCAGAUGAUGGUCAUCACCGACCUGCCAGAGGAUGCGGUCCCUGCUACCAUGGCAACCGGGGACUCCCCCUCAUCCUCGCCCUCCUCUUCUUUACCCCGGACGGCUUCUCUCCCCCGCUACAGCCCGUCCAAGCUGGAGCGCAAGAACUCACUACCCAUGUCCAUCGUGAAUUCUCUCCUCAUGUACAGGAAGAAGCCACAACCAGAGGCUAAACCAGAUAGUAAGAAGGGCACCGCAUCCAGGACCAAAUCGGACGGGAGCGACAACGAGGGCACCAUGCCUUCUUUCUCCGUUUCCGGUAGCAACAGGGAGGAGGCCAAGUCCUCUGCCAAGAGGUUGUCGGCAUCGAGAACGAAGGACGAAGAGGGCAGGAGUGCUCUGGAUGAUUGCGAGUCAGUGACGCUAGGUAGAGAGCUUGAAACACAGAUGAGCACGACCCCUAACUAUGGAUCUGACAUGGAUGAGGUGGAUAGUAGCUCUACACCAGACCCGCAGAGAACCAAGGCCCUCAUUGAACAUUAUCUCACAAAGAUAGAACGGACUAAAGAACUUAUCAAGGCUGAACAAAAGGCAAAAGAUGAUAAUGUAACAGAGUACCUGGCGUUGGCGGAACAUGCAGACAAGCAGCAGAUUUCCAGAAUUAAGACUGUCUUUGAGAAAAAGAACACACGAUCAAACACAAAUAUUUCAAACUUACAAAAGAAGCUUGAGAAUUAUCAGAGAAGAUUAUUUGAUUUGGUGAACUAUGGUGCAUCGGGACCAAGGAAACCUAAAGAAGUCCUCCAAGGAAUGCAUCAAGGUCUAAAGGGCGUUCGGGACAAUAUACGAGAAGGAAUAACGGGAUUCUCGGGUGCAAUGGUCUCCAAACCUAAGGAGUUUGCCAGUAAAUUCAAGAACAAAUUUGGAAGCGCAGAUAACCUUGAUAGCAUAAAUGACGACGAUGAUCAAAACUCAAUGAAUAAUAAGUCCAAAAGUAGCUGGUUUGCACCCAUGCCUGUGGAUGCAUUAAGACCAAGGUCGGCAAGUGAUGGAGAAGAGACCUACAGCCUGACCUCUGGAUCAGGACCCAACAAUAACGGGCAUCCGUUACUAGGCGAGGACGAUGUUGAGCAUCCGCUGGCAGGAGCUGUUAACAAACUCCAAAGAACCGUCCAUGAGUUAACAGCUUCCCACUCCAGACUUCAACAGAAUAUAGAAGAUUUACAGAACCAGUUACAGCAUCAAUUACAGUACUUCAACCAAUCUCUGCAAGAGGAGCGAUAUAGGGCAGAGAGAUUGGAAGAACAGCUCACCGAUCUGACCGAUCUCCACACACAUGCAAUGAGUAAUCUCCAACAAGAGCUUAGCUCCGUUCAGGAGAGAUUGGAGUAUCGUAUGGAAGAGAGGAGCAGAGAUUAUAUCGACUCUGUGGAGCAGUGUCAAACAAGGAUAUCCAAAAUUGAGCUUGCUCAACAGCAUCAGCAAGUCAUCACGUUAGAAGGUUACGAGAACGCCAACGCGAGGGCGUUACUCUCAAAGUUCAUCAACGUCAUCCUGCUUAUACUAGCCGUCAUUCUUGUCAUUUUAUCCAACGCUGUCAAUCUCGUCUCUCCAUUAGUACAAACCAAGUCUCGUCUCUUAGUCACAAUAUUCAUCGGUGCAGGGCUCUUCUAUCUCUGGCAGCAGAGGGAGAUUAUCGACGGUGCACGGCGGAACUUUGCUCAAAACUAUGUACAUUAUCUGCCCUUCCAGACUCGGUGACACACAAUCAUCAUUCCAUCCCAGCCACGUUAUUUCUAAUGCAUGAGACGGAUGGACAUAUUCUGGUCCUUCCCGUGCACUAUUGUGAUUACGUGGGACUAAGAAUUUGACUGGAGUCCCUACUGUCUACAUAGAUCCAUGGGACCGAGGACGAAUAUCAAAAUGCAUCCUGAAACCCGAGUGACAGGAACGGAAAUGGAAUAAGAAAAGGAUAUGAAUUUCUCCUCUCCUCGAAACCAGAUAUGUUCAUUUUCUUGAGGAUCGCAUUUAUUGCACGUCUUUACAAUUAUUUAUUGUUGGGACCAUCCGUAUUGCAGAUUUUCUCUUGGAAAUACUUUGAAACCAGGCAACUUGCUGAAUCAAGACUCGAUAGAGAGAGGGAGUCCUGCCAAUAAUAAUCACUUAGGAUCUCACCAAACUCAUUGACAAAUCAUCUCAUUUUCCAGAAUGUUGUUUAGCUGAAUGUUGCCAUUUGCUACAUUGUUGUUGGGAGUCUGCAAAGAGGACUUUACUUACUUCACCAUUGUGAAUGUCUGGGACUACAAUAUUGCAUCUUGUGAUUUGACUGCCAUCUGUGUCAAGUGCUAGAGAUAGAGCAGAUUUGGAAUUUGUCUCUCCUGCAUAUAUUGUUUCAUCAAAGCUAAAUACUUGUAUUAACAAAUUUUGUUUGCUGUAACAAACCUUAAUUUGUAUUUCAUCAAAGGGUUUCACUUUAAAUUAUAAUAUAAAUCCCCUUGCAUUGGAUUUGUACAUGAUUUCACGUUUUUGAGCAGUCCAUGGUCUGACAUGCACUUACAUAAUGUUGCGUAAUUUCGUGACCGCGUACCCGGGCAUCACAAAUUUGGUCUCAAAAGUUGUGCGAGAUUUGAAAGUAAAAAGUCAGCGAGCGGCGCGGUUGAAAAUUUUCGUGCGGCAGAUUUAUCGUGAAAAAUGUAGAGUGGGCACAAUCCCCCCCCCCCCCCUCUGGGCCUUAUAGGGUUAAGUCCCUGUUCCUUAUUUCUUCCUUAAGAGCAUACAUAUUAUAUGUAUAUAAUACUUAUAUUGAGACCAAGAUUUAUGUUAUUGGAAUGUAUGACUGGAUUAUUUGGAAUUGUUACCGAAGUUUGAUGGUGGGAAGUGCAAUAUAAAGAGAAGUAUUAUCAGAAAAAUAAAGGAAAGUAAACAUUUAUAUGGAAUGGAAUGAAACGACAAAAGAAAUGGAGAUGUAGCUUUUUAUCCUGUAUAAAUCUAUGUCAUGGAGUCUCAAAUUUGACAAUCUAUUGGCGUUUUACUUGUGUCAUACCCAUCGGUGUGUUAUUAAAAAUGGUUGUUUUUGUAAGGUCGUUUGUAUGCAUAUGAUACACAAUGGAGAGGGUAGUAGUGAGAACAAUCCACAAAGAGGUACCUCUGUCGCCCAAGGCAUAGUUGAAUAUGCUUGGACUGUUUCAAAGAUAACAAGCGUGCAUAGUUAUACUAAUGCCCCAGCAAAAUGAUAUAUAGUGAUGUGGUUGCUCAUCUCAAAAACCAUGACCGGUCAUUAUAUUCUACUUCUAAUCCCUGAUCAUAAAUACUUACGGCCCUGUCACAUCGUUCCAAGCAAGCCUUGCGUGCGACUAUUUUUGCUACCAGCAGGUCACCUGCAUUUACACUACCUCGCAUGUUUCAUCGAACGCCGUUUGCCGGUAUGGGCGCACGCAAGUCUGAUUUGCCUGCAGAUAAGUUUCGAAAAUGUUCGAAAUUUUGUUGCGAGUGCUUGCACGAAACGAUGUGACAGGGCCUGUUCACGUUUUAUGCAAAAAUAAAUGUCUGAACAAGCCUGGUAACGUGAUCACAAGGAGCCAAUCUCAUUCACUCUUAUUACUCCCAUACACAAACCUUUGCUUUAAUUCACUCCCUUCUCUUCCAUGUAAUAUUACAGGCAGAUGUACUUGAAAGGGGAUUAAUAAAAGAAUGUGUUUUAACGUUUGUCUUCUUCGUUAAAUGGUGGUAUAUUAUCACAUGAUUGAAAUAUUCUUUUGGAAAGCCUUCUGAUACUUUUAAAUGUUUGCACACUCGUGUUGUUCCUUGGUCAACUUCUUCCAUAUUCAAAGUAUUUGGCAUAUAUAUUGUGUAGAUUUUUAAACUUUAGAAGUUAGUAGUGAUAUAACCCACUAUUCUGCAUUGGUAUUCAGAAGAUUCAUUGCGAUGCAUUAUGAAUAAGUGAAAGGCAGUUGCUACACUCUAAUUCUUCCAACACUUCUGUAUUUAUUUUAAUAUAUUUAAAAUUUAU